GAUGAAGAACGGAGCGAAAUGCGAUACUUGGUGUGAAUUGCAGAAUCCCGUGAACCAUCGAGUCUUUGAACGCAAGUUGCGCCCGAAGCCAUCAGGUUGAGGGCACGUCUGCCUGGGCGUCACAUAUCGUUGCCCAAUGCCUAUUGCAGUGCAAUAGGAAUUUCUAGGGCGAAUGAUGGCUUCCCGUGAGCGUUGUUGCCUCGCGGUUGGUUGAAAAUCGAGUCCUUGGUAGGGUGUGCCAUGGUAGAUGGUGGUCGAGUUAGAACGAUACCGAUCAUGUGCAUGCUCCCCAAAAUAUGGCCUCUAUGACCCACACGCGUCUUUUGACGCUCAUGACGAGACCUCAGGUCAGGGGGGGCUACCCGCUGAAUUUAAGCAUAUCAAUAAGCGGAGGA
rnacentral:misc_RNA from 1 species